ACAACAUUCGGACCGUCGGUCUACCGAGCAAAUAUCACCCGCUCGGUGGAAGAUCAUUCCGCCGUUGU
rnacentral:pre_miRNA from 1 species